GAUGAACGCUAGCGCGUCAGAGAGUAUAAUACAUGCAAGUCGAGGGGCAGCAGCUUUAUAGCAAUAUAGAGGCUGGCGACCGGCAAACGGGUGCGGAACACGUACACAACCUUCCUUGAAUAGGGGGAUAGCCCAUAGAAAUGUGGAUUAAUACCCCGUAAUAUAGCGGUGUGGCAUCACACUGUUAUUACAGUUUCGACGAUUCGAGAUGGGUGUGCGGCUGAUUAGGUAGUUGGCGGGGUAAAGGCCCACCAAGCCUUCGAUCAGUAGCUGAUGUGAGAGCAUGAUCAGCCACACGGGCACUGAGACACGGGCCCGACUCCUACGGGAGGCAGCUUUAUGGAAUAUUGGUCAAUGGACGCAAGUCUGAACCAGCCAUGCCGCGUGAAGGAUGAAGGUCCUCUGGAUUGUAAACUUCUUUUAUAGGGGGCGAAAGAAGGUCUUUCUAGAUCACUUGACAGUACCCUAUGAAUAAGCACCGGCUAACUCC
rnacentral:rRNA from 1 species